rnacentral:rRNA from 1 species
AUGCAAGUCGAACGGACCUUCGGGUUAGUGGCGGACGGGUGAGUAACGCGUGGGAAUCUGCCCUCAGGAGGGGGAUAACGGCUGGAAACGGCCGCUAAUACCCCAUAUGCCGAGAGGUGAAAUGAAUUUCGCCUGAGGAUGAGCCCGCGUCUGACUAGCUAGUUGGUGAGGUAAUGGCUCACCAAGGCUUCGAUCAGUAGCUGGUCUGAGAGGAUGAUCAGCCACACUGGGACUGAGACACGGCCCAGACUCCUACGGGAGGCAGCAGUGGGGAAUUUUCCGCAAUGGGCGAAAGCCUGACGGAGCAACGCCGCGUGAGGGAUGAAGGCCUCUGGGCUGUAAACCUCUUUUCUCAAGGAAGAAGAUAUGACGGUACUUGAGGAAUAAGCCACGGCUAAUUCCGUGCCAGCAGCCGCGGUAAUACGGGAGUGGCAAGCGUUAUCCGGAAUUAUUGGGCGUAAAGCGUCCGCAGGCGGCCCUUCAAGUCUGCUGUUAAAACGUGGAGCUUAACUCCAUCAAGGCAGUGGAAACUGUUGGGCUUGAGUGUGGUAGGGGCAGAGGGAAUUCCCGGUGUAGCGGUGAAAUGCGUAGAUAUCGGGAAGAACACCAGUGGCGAAGGCGCUCUGCUGGGCCAUAACUGACGCUCAUGGACGAAAGCCAGGGGAGCGAAAGGGAUUAGAUACCCCUGCAGUCCUGGCCGUAAACGAUGAACACUAGGUGUCGGGGGAAUCGACCCCCUCGGUGUCGUAGCCAACGCGUUAAGUGUUCCGCCUGGGGAGUACGCACGCAAGUGUGAAACUCAAAGGAAUUGACGGGGGCCCGCACAAGCGGUGGAGUAUGUGGUUUAAUUCGAUGCAACGCGAAGAACCUUACCAGGGUUUGACAUCCUGCGAACCUCUAAGAAUUGGAGGGUGCCUUCGGGAACGCAGUGACAGG